rnacentral:rRNA from 1 species
GCUGAGACACGGCCCCGACUCCUACGGGAGGCAGCAGUAAGGAAUAUUGGUCAAUGGGCGAAAGCCUGAACCAGCCAUGCCGCGUGGAGGAUGAAGGUCCUCUGGAUUGUAAACUUCUUUUAUCAGGGGCGAAAAAAGGCCAUUCUUGGUCGUCUGACGGUACCUGAUGAAUAAGCACCGGCUAACUCCGUGCCAGCAGCCGCGGUAAUACGUAGGUGGCAAGCGUUGUCCGGAAUUACUGGGCGUAAAGGGCGUGUAGGCGGGGAAACAAGUCAGAUGUGAAAUCCCAUGGCUUAACUGUGGAGCUGCAUCUGAAACUGUUUCUCUUGAGUACUGGAGAGGAAAGUGGAAUUCCCAGUGUAGCGGUGAAAUGCGUAGAGAUUGGGAGGAACACCAGUGGCGAAGGCGGCUUUCUGGACAGUAACUGACGCUGAGGCGCGAAAGCGUGGGGAGCAAACAGGAUUAGAUACCCUGGUAGUCCACGCUGUAAACGAUGGAUACUAGGUGUAGGAGGUAUCGACCCCUUCUGUGCCGGAGUUAACACAAUAAGUAUCCCGCCUGGGGAGUACGGCCGCAAGGUUGUUGUCG